CGGCAGCCUGGCUGUUUAGAGGGACCUCUAGCUCCAGACUAUUCCAUCUGAGGCUGACGGGGACUCUGCUGAGGGCGCUGUAAGAUGGCCUCAGAGCAUGCACCUCGUGCCAUCUGAACCACAUCAAUAUGAGAGUUAUGGAGAAGCCAACUGGUAAGGAAGUACUCUCUCUGCAAUAGCCAUGAGGACCUGGGCGAGGUCUGCCAACAGGCAUGUGAGUAGACUUGGGAGCAGGUUCGCCCCCAUCCCAGCCUUGAGCUGCCUGGAAAACUGGC